UCGGGAAUUUUGGGCAAUGGGCGAAAGCCUGACCCAGCAACGCCGCGUGAAGGAUGAAGUAUUUCGGUAUGUAAACUUCGAAAGAAUAGGAAGAAUAAAUGACGGUACUAUUUAUAAGGUCCGGCUAACUACGUGCCAGCAGCCGCGGUAAUACGUAGGGACCAGGCGUUGUUCGGAUUUACUGGGCGUAAAGGGCGCGUAGGCGGCAAUUCAAGUCAUCUGUGAAAUCUCCGGGCUUAACUCGGAACGGUCAGAUGAUACUGCUUUGCUAGAGUGCAGAAGGGGCAAUCGGAAUUCUUGGUGUAACGGUGAAAUGCGUAGAUAUCAAGAGGAACACCUGAGGUGAAGACGGGUUGCUGGGCUGACACUGACGCUGAGGCGCGAAAGCCAGGGGAGCAAACGGGAUUAGAUACCCACGUAGUCCCUGAGCGGGCUGGCAAGGCGCAU
rnacentral:rRNA from 1 species